ACAGAGAUGGAACCGAUUUGGUUUUAAGCUAGGUUACAUUCAUUUUUGUCCAUGUGUCUGCAUAUUUUCACUGAGGGAGAGUACUGUGUUCACCCUCAAAGACUGAUAUGCAGAUAGCAACUUCAGUUUAAACUAUGAUGCUAAUGAGAGCAGAUCAGUCCAUUUCCCCCAUGUGGUUUAUUAAAAUCUUAAUUUCAGACAUCAGUAGAUGAAGAUCCCAAAAUUUGGAAGGACAAAAAAACUCCCACUAACAUCGAAGUAUAUAGUAGUUUUGCUGGGGUAACAGUUGUAGGAUUGGCUCUUUUUAUAGCUUUACUUGCUACCUGUACAGGACUGUUUUCAUUAUUUUCUGAUCGUUUAUCUUAAUGUUGCCAAAUUAACUUUUUUAUUUGGUAAUUAAUAUAAAGAGCUAAGAGAAAUUGUAACCUACUAUCCAUCCAUCUCAUUUUAGCUGAUUAAAAUCAAACCUCAUUUCUUAAAUGCAGGUGGGGGGGGAGAGGGUUUGGCAUUGCACAUCUAAACUUGAAGGGGGAGAGAAUAUAAAAUAAAUAAUCAGUUUCUUUUCUGGAAGUCUUGAACAAGUUUAAACAAAUCGAAAAUGGUAUUCACAAUAAUAGAUACUAAUUAAAAUGUUGAAAGCUGCAUUGGAGAGAAAUGAAAAGGAAUAUUUCGAGCUUCAUCUUCUGCAAUUUGAGUGUGUGUGUGUGCAUGUGUGAAGUUUUUUCAUGUUUGAAGUAAGUGUGGAAGUAUUAUAUACCUUGUGUUAUUUCCCUGAUAAAUGCUAUUGGUAUUUGCCAUUUUAUGUGGUGUUAUUUAAACAGCAGGUGGAGUUGAUUUAUUUCUAAAAGAUAAUACAGAAUGGUUAGAAAUUAUGAAAAAAUGCCAGUGUGCAGAUUCAAGAGCAGUAUUUCCUGUUUGCCUUACCUGGUAACUUUUUUCUACAUAAACCUGAUUCAUAAUGGAGCCAGUUAAAUUUAACAAGUCAAGGUUCCCAGAAUGCUACAAGUAUUUCUACUUGACUAUAUUAUCACUGUUAUCAGUGCCAAAUAUACAAUCUGUGUCUAAACAGCAUUUGCUACCAGAUCUAUGUUAAAAGUGCUAAAAGAAAAAAGCAGGACAUAGGAGUGGAAUGAAGGAUCGGGAUGUGCAAAGGCUGGGAAGCUUUGAGACUGCAUAUGAUUAAUAGAUAACCAGAGUUAGUCUUUUGUAAGAAAACGAGGAGGAGCCAUAUUCCCAUUUGAGGUGCUAGCCUCACCUCACCUACACAGGAAAGAGUACACAUUGCAGCCAUUAAAUGGUUUCCUCUUUGUGCUAUUACUAAGCUUGUUUUAAGGUCUUGGUAGGACCAGGGGCAGACUUGGGGACCUGGGUUGCUAAGUAGAUGGGCCCCCUGGCUUACUCCUACCCUGGCUGGCUUUAGCAGUAGCAGAGACAUGCCUUGCAUACAAGUAGGAUCAAUGACACUAGUCUUAUCCCUCUGUCUCCCUUCCUAGAAGUGCACAGGUGAUAUACCAGGAGAUUCAUGAUGCUUCAUCUGCUUGGUUGGAUGAGCCAAACUCUAGCAUUAGAGUAGCAUUGAAACAGGCUGUCUAGAGAAGUUGUGGAAUUUCCAUCCUGGAAAUUUUCAAGAGCAGGUUAGACAAAGACUUGACUGGGAUGCUUUAGUCAGGGAUGAUCCUGCCUUCAUCAGGAUAGACUAGAUGACCCUUCAAGCCCUACUUUCCUAUGAUCCUACUCUGCUGUGGGAGAGUCAUCCACCCCACAGCACAGUGGGCCAUGAAGUUGAUGUUAUCAUUAUGCAUUGUAGCAAGAUUUUAAAGUCCUAAAGAGAAUGGGAUCAGCAGUGUGGAGGAGGAAUGCAUUUGUUUAUCUAUUAUCUGUCUCUUCACAGAAGUAGAGCACAAGAAUUCAUCAGGAAACACCUAGAAAUAUCCGGGGGGAUUGAAAGGAGCUAUGAAGGAUUGUGGGUUCCAAUCCUGUGUCUGUCUUCCUGACUGUCAAUUUCUGUUGACUGAGAUGAAAGCACAGCUAUCCUUUUUCAAGUAUGGUUUUCAGCCAGAACCACUGAAAGAGAAUGGAAAAUAUGAUGGAUCAUGUUGCACUGUACUGCACAAAAACGCUCGUGUCUGUUAUUAAGUUCCACUAUACCUGUUGCUUUAAUAAAUCUUAACUACUUUUUUUUCCCUAUCCAAACACUUUAUACAUAAGUCUGUCAGCCCAAAGACUAGUUUCAGUUACACAGACCUUGAGUCUAGAGUAGUGCAGUGAAGUUGAUGAAGCUGCUAUGAAUGGUAAGCCACUUAACUGAAAGAAGAAUUAGCUUUGUUCAGUGCUUGAUAGUGAUUAUUUACUAAAGGGUGGUGAUUAUUUACUGGAGUGUAUUUCUUAUGAUAGAAUGUACAUGGCUCCUAUUUAUUGCUGAUUGCUCCGAAAGUUUCACCUCUGAUACUGAGGCAUAUUGGAGAGUAAAAAUAAGUCUCCUUGUGCAUAAGGCAUAAAUGAAAUCAAUUUAAAUGUGUCACUGUGCUCUUACAGCCCCAACAAAAAGUCCCUUAAGGUUUAGUUUUCUCAAGUCUGUGAACUUUACACAAGACUCAAGGUGCUGACAUCCUUGUAUGAUUCAUAAAGAAAUAUUCUGUUUACACAUGAACGUAAGCCUCCAUAAGUUGAGUUUAGAAAUGGUUUGAAUGUGGGGCAGAAAUUAGAUGUAAUAAUGAAAAGCAUUUGAUUUUCCCAGAAAAUGUGUUAGUUACAAGGUCAGCAUCUGAAACUGAUGUACACGUUCUUGUUACUAUAAAUGCUGUUACAGGGCUCCUAAUCCAGAGCUCUCAUUAGGGGGUUUGUCACUCAGCUAUAAAAAACAGUAUAUUGGUAGCAAACAUCUCAGUUUAGAUGGCUUUUUUUAUCAUAAACUAAAUUUUAGAAACAGGAGAGGAUUUUAUUCAGAGGCAUAACAAUCAGGGUGGCAGCAGUGGCAGUAGCCAGGCUAGGUCAGACCAACAGCAGUAGCAGUUGCCACCAUUUUUGCACCCCUUCUGUAUGUCCCAACCUUAGUUGCAGCACUAAAUUUUUUGCCAUUUUAAAAAUGUAAGAACUGAUACAAUAGGUCUUCACAAGUAAAACUCUGAAGUCAUUGAAUGUUUCCCCUACCCAUAGAACUACAUUGUAUAGGUGCAGAAAUAAAGAUCAUCAAGUUGGGAAACUUUGAUUAUAUUAUAAGUUUAAAAAUAGAUAGUUAAAAUAGAUUUGUGAGGAGGAAGUGACUUAAUUCUAAUUGGUUGAUCUGUAAAUAUAGAUUUAAAUCUGUUUGUACAACUAAAGAAAGGGGCUAGUCACAUAAAUAUCAUCACACUAGAUAUUUAUCCUUUUAAACCAUUCCGAUGAGUAUUAAAACUUGUUAACUGAGUAGUGUCCAUUGACUUUUAAUAUCAAAUCUCAUGACUAAAACCCUAUAAAUAUCUGAUAAUAUAGGUAUUUGCUCUUUUGUAAAUCAGUCUUUUCAGUGUGAAGUGAGAGGAAUUCACUGUCUCUCUCCUCCAUAUGGAACAAUAAGGAUGUGUGAGAAUAAGUUUUUCUUUCUUUCAGGAGAGUCUGAAGCCCCCUGCCUUUAUCAGCUAACUCUCAUUCUGUUGUUUGGUAUCAUUGAUCAUAAUGCUCUCCAAAAUCAAUGGAUAAAAUGUUGCAUCUGUCCGGCAAACUUCAUGGGAGUAGUUGUUCCUCUUGGGGUGAAGGGGCAGGAGCUUCAAACAUAUGCAAAAAUAGCUACAUUAGAAUGGGAACCCUGACCAUUUACCUCCCAUAUGCUCACUUUUCAUGUUAGGGAGGCAAUAAUGAGCAUAGGUCUAUAGUAAUAAGCAAGAUCACACUACCUAGCUCAGUAUAUGGCUACACUGCUUCUCUUAGUACCCUGAUUGAACCCGGAAAUGAUGCACAAAUGAUCUUUUGCAGGAGGUAGUUGAGGGCUGAUCUUGCACUCUUUGCAUUUCACUGGCAAUUACUGGGACCUAAAAUACUUUGGUUAUAGUCAGCAUUUUAAAACUUAGAUGGCAAACAUUAUACUUUCAAAAAUUAGGAAAAUUUAUACUUUUAUUUGAAGUGCUGUAACAGUUCUUAAGGCAAAUAAGAACUAUUAGUGCUCAACACCUCUGGAAAUCAGGACGUGUCUUUUGAGGGGGCUAUCUUUCUACAUUUCAAAGUGUUGCCCUUUGUGCUUUAUUUGCAGACCCCUAAUGCAAAGAGCCAUUUAUCUCCAGCAGAUAUGGCUGAUUACUUCAAUCUCCAUAGCUCUGAAUGAUAAUUCAAACACAGUCAGUGUUUCUGCUGUGACAUGUACAUUGUCUAUGUCAUGCAGACUCAGUAGUUCUUAUCAUUUGGACUGCUAAUACUAGCCAUUGCUAGCCAACUGCCCAGUAAGCCCAAUAAGUGGUGGGUAUUGUAUUAAAGUGCACAUGGCCUGCUCAAAAGGAAUAGACUAAACCACUUACCGUCUCUUCUUGGGUUUUUAAACUGUUUAAAGCUUUUAGUCAAAUAAUAUUUACAUUAUAGUUGCUUCUGACCUCAAUGGAGAAUCAGAACUUCAUCACUGCCUUUUUU